CCCCCCUAAUCGGGUGGGACUAGACAUGCGAGUCGAGCGUCUCUAGCUAUGUUGAGACGCGGCAGACGGCUCAGUAACACGUGGCUAACCUACCCUCAGGACAGGGACAAACCCGGGAAACUGGGGCUAAUACCAGAUAGGUGAGGAUGCCUGGAAUGGUUUUUCGCUCAAAGGACCUUGGAAACAUGCUUUCAAGUCGCCUGAGGAUGGGGCCGCGUCCGAUCAGGUUGUUGGUGAGGUAACGGCUCACCAAGCCUAUAACCGGUACGGGCCGUGAGAGCGGUAGCCCGGAGAUGGGUACUGAGACAAGGACCCAGGCCCUACGGGGCGCAGCAGUCGCGAAAACUCCGCAAUGCACGAAAGUGUGACGGGGCUACCCCGAGUGCUCUCCGCUGAGGAAAGCUUUUCUCUGGUGUAACAAGCCAGGGGAAUAAGGAGAGGGCAAGACUGGUGUCAGCCGCCGCGGUAAUACCAGCUCUCCGAGUGGUAGGGAUGUUUAUUGGGCUUAAAGCGUCCGUAGCCGGCUUAGCAAGUUUCCUGUUAAAUUCAGCGACCUAAUCGUUGAGCCGCGGGAAAUACUACUAGGCUAGGAGGCGGGAGAGGUCAACGGUACUUCCGGGGUAGGGGUGAAAUCCUAUAAUCCCGGGAGGACCACCAGUGGCGAAGGCUGUUGACUAGAACGCGCUCGACGGUGAGGGACGAAAGCUGGGGGAGCGAACCGGAUUAGAUACCCGGGUAGUCCCAGCUGUAAACGAUGCGAGCUAGGUGUUGGGGUGGCUACGUGCCACUUCAGUGCCGCAAGGAAGCCAUUAAGCUCGCCGCCUGGGGAGUACGGCCGCAAGGCUGAAACUCAAAGGAAUUGACG
rnacentral:rRNA from 1 species